rnacentral:misc_RNA from 1 species
UGCUCAAACACCUGCAGAG